AGAACGAACGCUGGCGGCAGGCCUAACACAUGCAAGUCGAACGCGAUCUUCGGAUCGAGUGGCGCACGGGUGAGUAACGCGUGGGAAUCUGCCCUGUGGUACGGAAUAACAUCGGGAAACUGGUGCUAAUACCGUAUAUCCCCUGAGGGGGAAAGAUUUAUCGCCAUGGGAGGAGCCCGCGUAGGAUUAGCUAGUUGGUGAGGUAACGGCUCACCAAGGCGACGACCCUUAGCUGGUCUGAGAGGAUGAUCAGCCACACUGGGACUGAGAUACGGCCCAGACUCCUACGGGAGGCAGCAGUGGGAAUAUUGGACAAUGGGGGAAACCCUGAUCCAGCCAUGCCGCGUGUGUGAUGAAGGCCUUCGGGUUGUAAAGCACUUUCGCACGUGACGAUGAUGACGGUAACGUGAGAAGAAGCCCGGCUAACUACGUGCCAGCAGCCGC
rnacentral:rRNA from 1 species